rnacentral:rRNA from 1 species
UACAGAGGUCUCAAGCGUUGUUCGGAUUCAUUGGGCGUAAAGGGCGCGUAGGCGGCGGGGUAAGUCGGGUGUGAAAUCUCAGGGCUCAACCCUGAAACUGCACUCGAUACUGCUCUGCUUGAGGACUGGAGAGGAGACUGGAAUUCACGGUGUAGCAGUGAAAUGCGUAGAUAUCGUGAGGAAGACCAGUGGCGAAGGCGGGUCUCUGGACAGUUCCUGACGCUGAGGCACGAAGGUCAGGGGAGCAAACGGG